rnacentral:lncRNA from 1 species
CGGGGCGGCAAAACGUCCGCCCGGGCCCGAGGCGGGCGGAGGCAGCUGUGGUUACGUGCGGGGGGCCGGUGACGCAGUCGCGGGGCGCUGGGACGCGGCUUGCGGAGCCGGCCGGCGAGCGCAGGCCCCAGGCUCGGGCGCGGCGGCGGGACAGCACCUACCUUCCCGGCUUCGGGUCCGGGAGUGCGGGGCGCGGAGCCGCCGGAGCGCUGCCUCCCUCCUUCCUCCUCCCCUCGCCCCCGCCCCGCGGCGCGACACACAAUACUCGCCGGAAGCGGAAGCCGCGCCGAGGCUCGUGUCAGUGGAAGCUGGGGUGUCGGCGGGCGGCCGCGGCCGGGUCUAGCGGUGCCUGCGGAAGAAGGAGGAGGAGGGCUGGCGAUGAGAAGCAGCAGGGGGAAUCAAGGGCAAGAAGGGACCCAGAGGGGCAGGUGGCUGAGAUGCUGGCGUCCAGGUGACCCGAGGAAUCCUCUGGAGAUACAGGCCCGCGCAUGCGCGUGCUCGAGCGCUGAAGCCCAUUGCCCGCAGGGCGCUGGACUGGCGCCCCGGCCGGCGAGGCUGUCUAGUCCAGGCUCCAGGCCCCGGCUCUGGCCAGGCGCCGCCGCCUCCCGGUGCAGCUGAAAGUCGACGAAGAGGGCGGGGCGGGGGCGGCUUGUGGACUUCCACACUUUUCCUCUCUUCGGGCCAGUCUGGGGAGAGGGUGGCUAGCUGUGGCGGCGGCCAAUUACGUGGCGGACCUGCGGGGCUAAGCUGGCACGUCACUUCCGACUAGUGGAGUUUUUAGCCUUUUAACAUUCAAGGAUUAGGUAAAAGUCUUGCAGUGAAAAACCCGAGGACCCUUACCGCAAGUGUCUUUUGCUCCCAGCUACUGAUACUGGAUUCCACUCGUGAUUCUCCCUUUCUUAGCGCAUUCAUGAUAUAGACAUCAGUCUCUGAGCUGGAGGAGGACAAAGGCAGCGGUCCUGUGAAUUCUAUGCUCUAGCUUGGGUUAAGGGAUUUGGAAUUGCACUUGUUUCAGAGAGCUCCCUCUUUGCCCACUAGCAGGGCAUUAGCUGGUGCUGAAGACAGUGGCUGCUUGGCGAGCCUGGAUCUCCAAGUGACCCCCUCAGCAACUCCUGAUGAACAGGACUGAAGCCAAUAUUAAAGCAAGUCAACCAAAGGUUCUCUGGUGUAGACAAGACAGCAAAAGGACAGACUACCUUGUGGAACCUAGCAUUGUUCUCCUUCUGCAGCACUAAGUAACAUUUGUUCUCCGUUAAGAUCUUUGCAAACCACACACAAGAAUUGCUGGUCAUCCUGCCAAUAGAUGCUGCUCACAGAACCAAAUUUCCUGUGCUGAAUUGUCACUCAUGGGCUUGAGAGUAGGAGACUGGAGACCAAGGUGGCUAGAAUCCAGUUGGGCCUGAUGUCUCCCUGUUGAAAGGGCUCCUUGUGGAAUGAAUAGCACAUGGCUCCUGUGGUGGAUCUGAUAGUGGCAUAGCACCAAGUGAUGCAGGCCUGCCAGGGGCCACAGACACAGAAGAUGCUCCCGGGGUCCCCCAUGUACUCCAGACACACUGCAGGCCACCUCUCCCAGCAGGUUGCCAGUCAUGGGCCCCAUCAUCAUGACUUCUGUCCAAGGUACUGUGUGCAGAAAUGUGAUUGAGAUUCAAGUCAGGGCCUCUCUGCCCUUUUCCCUCCAGAAACAAAACCAAGAUAAUUUAUCCUGAACACGGUGAAAAAAGGAAGGGAGGGAGGAGAAAAAGUCCGGGUCUCACCUGGGAUUCUCUGUCUCCUGCAACAUGAAGGAUUUAGCCUGGGAGGAGGUGGUGAGAACUCUGGGAGAGAAAAAAGAAGGAAAGAAUAGUUUUACCCAUGCUGAAGUUAAUUUAAACCUUCACCUAGAGAAGCAAAAAAAAAAAACCCACACUUUCCCAUUUUGUGCCUCCCUUCCUAGAGUUUUAGCCAAAGGUUUAGCUAAGUAAUUGGUUUUACCAGCGCACUCACUCCUCCUAUCCCAAGUCUGUUUGACUCCCUCCCCAUCAUCCUCCUCACCUCUUUUCAGGCAGGGUGGGGAUAGCAGCAGGAGGAGAUUUUGGGAGCCUGGCAACUCCUGCAAGGACCGCAGGACAGCCCCUCUGUGGGGAUGCGUGGUGCCCCAUCUGCCGCCCUUCUGAAGAAUGCACUGCCUUCACUUUUUACUGUGUUAGAGUCCAUCCAGACUGUUCUAUCCAAAAAAGUUUCUUUUUCCCCCACAGGCAAUCAGGAAAUGAUUCCUUUCCCGACUGCUUCUGUCUAGUGCCUGGGAAUCUUGAGUCAAUCCCUCAGUAAGUCAGUGACUAGGGAAAUCCCUCUCUGAGCCUCCCAGUUCAUGUUGCUUAGGGAACCUGAUAUUUUCGUGAAACCUGCCUACACAUGGGCAGCCCAACAGCAGAACAAAUGGUGGUGACCAAAGUGAACAAAGAAGUAUAGUUGUGCCAGCUUCGUAGUUGCCCAUGUGGACAAGUCAGCAGGAUCAGGACACGAGGAAGAGUAAAUGUGAGACAGUCAAUGUGACUUCUGCGAUAAACAGAUUUUUAAACCCCGAAAUUUUGCAAAAUUUUGGUGAAACCUGAACUUUCUUCGUUGCAUAUACUGGCACUAUCUGUACCAUCAUACAACUGUCUCACAUUAAAGCUAUUUUUCUUGGGCACUGAUGAGUAAGGUUGGUAUAAGUUCCUCAGAUCAACAAAAACCCAUUUUCCUGUAAGUCUUACAUUUAGUAUUUAAGGAACUAAAACUUAAAUACAUUUUGUGAAAUGGUUGACACUUCACUGAUAAUGAUUUAUUGCUUGGAUUAAUAAAUUUUCCAAAAGUUGUCUUAUGUAGAAUAUGGUUUGCAACCAGCAGAACCAUUAAUCUAUACUGCAAUGAUAUGCACUAUGUAUAAUUGUUUAAAAGCCUCUACUUAAUGAUGUAAAAUGCUCUAUUUAAUUACACAUUUGGGUAAACUGUAUACUAACAUCUGAUGGCAUUUUUCCACUGUUUGUUGCUUUUUUCAAAUACUUUAUUGUACAAAGCUGUUCUUAAUAUUUUUCAAGUUUUUUUCUUUGAAUUUUGCUAAUGUUUUCCUUGAAUUAUGAGCACUGACAGAAUGUGCUUAGCACUUUUGGCUAUUCACACAGCUUUUGAGCAUGAUUUGCAUCCAAUAUUUACAUUGCUAGCAAUAAUAAGCCAUCUGUGAGUUUUGUCAAAAGUUAUUGGGGAUUUUUUAAAUUUUAGAAAUGCAAAUUAUUGUUUCUUUGAACUAACUCUUAUGCAGUUGCAAAGGCAUUUCCAGUUGUUAUAGUUUGUGUACAAUAUCAGGUGUUCCAGAUUAUGAUUCAUUAUUAAUAUCAUUGCUUCCUUGUUCCCUCUGAGGUCCAGAAGAUUCAUGUUUACAAUAUUUAGAAACAAUGUUAAAAAGGUAUCCAAAGUUUGUCACUUUAUUAUUAGUUUGUUCUUAAUAUUCUGUUUAAGUUUUUGAAUUCAUAGAUAUCAAAACGCUGCACAAUUAUGAUUUCCACAGGAAUAACAACACACUAACAAUAAGAACCAAAAACAGCAAAUAGGCUGCCUACAAGUUUUGACAAUAUUAGGAUAAUGAUAAUGACAGUUUUUCUAAAUCUCACAGUAAAGAAUGCAGCAACCCAGCAACACUGCUACCUGUGGCCUCAGGCUGCAGUGUCAGCUCUUCCCUGGGUCUCCAGCCUGCCAGUCUAACCUGAAAAUUAUGUACUUGCCAGCCCCCACAGUCACGUGAGUGAACUGGCCCAGGCUGGUCACCAGGGUCAGUUUCUCUGUGUGUCAUUAAUUCAUUCAGUCUUCAGCAGUCUCUUUGGAGCUGAGAUGUACCUACCAUCUGCCUUUUGGGUGCUUAGGGUGGAGAACCAGAAAAGUAUAACCUAGUGUGUAUCCUCAAAGAGCUAACAAUAUGGGGUGGUACCUAUAGGUCUGGAAACACUUUACUGACUCUGUGAGGCAUACCAGGAGACGUCAGAGAACAGUCCCUCCUCAAAUGCCAAAUGAGAUGCAGAAGAAAUAGUUUGCUCAAGUUCAUGGGCCAGAUAUCCCAGUGGUCAGGGAGUUUCAUGAAUGAGAUGGAACUUUGCAUGGAACCCGAGGGAUGUGUAUGAUUUGAGUAGAUGAAGAAAAUGAGACUUUCCAAGCAGCUAGAAGUUAGGGAGCAGCAAGAUGUGUGGUGGGAUUGAGCACAGUUGGUUCAGAGGAUAGACUGCAGUUUUAAUAAUUUGUAGUAAAUAUCUCCCAACUGUUUGGCACUAUUGGAGCAAGUUCUUGAAUGCCAAAUGAAGGCAUAAAUCAGUAAGAGGCAUAAUAAAAGGCUGAGCAGUGCUUGGCUUUUUACGAACUGAUCCUGAUAGGAGCAGCUGUUCAACAAAGUUGCCAGGUCACCGUUACAUAGUCCCUGCCUUCUAGGGGCUCACUGCCUACUGGGAGAGACAGUCUGAAAGUUGGUGGAGCAUGUAACUGUUGGAUGAGGACUUUGAGCCUGUGGACUGUGGGACCCCCGAGGAGGGUGUGGCUACUCUAGGCAGAACAAUCCCACAGUUUAUUUAUAUUUAACCUUGAAAUUCAUUAGAGGAUUUUUCAGCAGAGGUUUGGUACUUGUUAAUGUUAAGGUUUGCAUUCUCUAGAACCUCAAGGAAAGCUGUACCGUGCAUAAUGUACCCUCUUAUGUUAAUGUUGUGUACUGUGAUCCUGUUUCAGGGACUUGCACUUAGGAAUCUGUUACAGUGAGCACAGAAGCAGACCUGUGGGCUCAUAGUCUUCACCCCCCACCCAUAUAUACAAGAUGAACAGAGUGGAGGUUAAACAACUUGACUAAACAACACAGUUCAUGGUAAAGCCCAAGACUGUACCUGCCCAUCCACUGCCUUUUCCAUGUAUCCUGGAACUGAGCAUAGACCUCUUCCCAGGCAGAGCUGACAGCAAGUAAAGGAGAUCAUAAUCAGGGGACCAAACAACUUUGUCUAAAGUGUGAAUGUCACCUAAGGAGAAGCUGUGAGAUCAGAAGGGUGGGGCAGAGGAGCAGACACCAUGAGGGAGAGUCCUUGGGGGUACAUCUGCCAGACUGACACUGUCUGGCCUGGGCAGUGGAGGGGCUAGCAGGAACCACAGGUACUGGUGGUGUGGCUACUACCGUUACAACUGCCUGUGCUUGGACAUGGACCCUCUGCAAUAUGCGGCAGUUUCAUUCAUUGCCCCCUACAUUCUACACCAAGUAGAAAUGGAAGGCAAUUGGAUACUUCACAGACAAGAUCUAAGUGGAGAAGGAAUGCGUCCUGUGGCUGCAGAGAUCCUUGGAGCUUGGAGGGGAGAGCUUGAGCCCCACUGAUGAUGACCUCCCACAGCUCGCCAACUCAGCCCUCCCUAAGUCCCCAUCGGGGGCCAAUUCUCACUCUGGGGUUGGGGGGACUCCACCAUAGCUCAUCCAUCAUAGGGAUGUUGGUAUCUACUGUGGGUUGGGUAGGGCCGAUGUGCUGAGGAUGGCUCCCCCACAAGCAAGAGAUGUGGAUUUGGGGAGCUUCCCAUCUUGUGUUGAAGGAACAUAACUCAGAAUAAUAAGAGCCAACUAUAACAAACCCACAGCCAACAUCAUACUGAAUGGGCAAAAGCUGCAGGCAUUCCCCUUGAAAAGUGGCACAGGAUAAGGAAGCCCUUUCUCACCACUCCUAUUCAAUAUAGUGUUGAAAGUCCUGAUCACAGCAGUCAGGCAACAGAAAUAAUAAAGGGCAUCCAAAUAGGAAGAGAGGAAGUCAAACUAUCCUUGUUUGCAGACAGUAUGAUUCUAUAUCUAGAAAACCCCAUAGCCUCAGCCCAAAAGGUCCUUCAUCUGAUAAUUUCAGCAAAGUUUCAGGAGACAAAAUCAGUGUACAAAAAUCACUAACAUUCCUAUACACAGUCGCCAAGCCAAGAGCCAAAUCAGGAGCACAAUCCCAUUCAUAAUUGCCACAAAAAAGAAUAAAAUACCCAGGAAUGCAGCUAACCAAGGAAGUAAAGGAUCUCUACAAUGAGAAUCACAAACGCUGCUCAAAGAAAUCAGAGAUGACACAAACAAAUGGAAAAACUUUCCAUGCUCAUGGCUAGGAAGAAUCAAUAUCAUUAAAGUGGCCAUACUACCCAAAGCAAUUUAUAGAUUCAAUGCUAUUCCUAUCAAACUAUCAAUUACAUUUUUCACAGAACUAGAAAAAACUUAAAAUUCAUAUGGAACCAAAAAGCCUGAGUAGUCAAGGCAAUCCUAAACAAAAAGAACAAAGGUGGAGGCAUCACAUUACCUAACUUCAAACUACAGGGCUACCAUGACCAAAACAGCAUGGUACUGGUACAAAAGCAGACACACAGACCAGUGGGACAGAAUAGAGAGCCCAAAAAUAAGGCCACAAACCUACAGCCAUCUGAUCUUCAACAAAGUUGACAAAAACAAGCAAUGGGGAAAGGUCUCCCUAUUCAAUAAAUGGUGCUGGGAUAACUGGCUGGCCAUAUGCAGAAGAUCGUAACUGGACCCCUUUUACUAUGUACAAAAAUUAAGAUGGUUUAAAGAGUUAAAACCCAAAAUUAUAAAAAUCCUGAAGAUAACUUAGGCAAUACCAUUCUGGACAUAGGAACUGGCAAAUAUUUCAUGAUGAAGACACCAAAAGCAAUUGUAACAAAAGCAAAAAUGGACAAAUUGGAUUUAAGAGCUUUUUCAUAGCAAAAUAAACAACAGGGCAGACAAUCUACCAAAUGACAGAAAAUUUUUGCAAACUAUGCAUCUGACAAGGGGCUAAUAUCUAGCAUCUAUAAGGAAUUUAAACACAGUUACAGG